UAUAUAUAUAUAUAUAUAAUUCAACAGCCAAGAUCAAGCAUCCCAUCGACAUCCCAUUCAAAAGGAGCAGGGCAAAUUACACCAAUAACCUGGCAUGCUGCUAUCAAUUGGUGGAGUGUAAGGGGAUUCUUUGAAGAAAAAUAGUGUCAAAGCUUCCCAACAGAACUCAGCUCUAUGGUUAGGCGGUAGAAACGAACAAUGAUAAGACUAUGACUAGUUGACUACUACUAGUCUACUACUGUUACAAUUUCACCUUUUGUGGGUCCCUACAAGUGGUGAGAUCAAUAAGGCAGCAGCAUGUUACUACAACAAUGGUGGGGCUUAUUCCCUCCAAACCCUACAGAACGUAUAUACUUGCCUUGGUAAAUCUACAGCCUACAAAAUGUAUCCAAGAAAAUUAAAGCUGUUAAAUCUUUCAAUCAAAUUGUUAAGAUCAUAUUAUGGCAAAGCAACCACUUGACUGUAUGAAACAUUUAGUGGACUGCAUGAAGGAAAGUUUCUUACUUCUUGAAACCAAACUGUCAUUCAAAAAUAUAUACAUAAAAAAAUUCUUUCUUUUGAAUACAUAGCAAUUGAAUAGCAGGUAUCAGAGAAGCAUAUAGAGGCAAAAUUGUAAACGCAAAUGUGAUAGCAACUAACACACUGAACUAAUUCAUUCGAAAAUAGGAGAAAAAUAAAUAACCAAAAGUCAAGCACGCAUGCAUCUCUAAGUGCAAGCCUAUCAAAUAAAUCAACCAAGUUCCCAAAAGUCCAAUUAAAAGCAUCCCUACCCCAAAAAAGAAAUACAUAAUACGAAGCAAUAAAAAAAUUGAAAGAAAAGAUCUGAACUGAUAAAUACGAAAUAGAAGUAUCAUUCUAAAAAUGAUCCAUUAGAAAACUAUGCAUCUAAAAAGCUACCAGGUUUACAAGAAAGCAAGUUGAAGCCGCCAGUGCUUUAAGCAAAUAAAUGGAUUGGAUAAAACAGUCUUCCAUUUUGAGAUCCAUAAAACCUUGUGAAUAUCAAGUAGAAUUUUCUCUUCUGAAAAAAAAAGGAACACAAAA
rnacentral:misc_RNA from 1 species